UCAGUGGAUGAGCCCGUGAGAACCCAGGAGUCCUGACUCCCAGCCCAGGGAUUAGGAACCAGGAUUGCCAGGCCUGGUGCUUCCUGCUGAGAGAAAAACGGACGUGACUUUGCCUGGUAUCAGCCCGGGGACACCAUCCAGAAAGGAGCCCAGGGAAGCUGCUGCUGCAAGUCUGACGCCCCGAACCCGCAGGGCCGAGCUAGCGACAGAUUCAAGGAAUCCAGCCCCCCGCUGGCACCCGACUGCACUCAGUUCCUCGCAGGACGUGGCCCUAAUCCCGGGCACUGAGCCCUUCAAAGAUCCCUGCCCGCAGGCUCCAUGUCUAGUUGGCAGCCGGUUUCAAGUGGAGAGCCCCAAGGGUCAGUCCUGGGGGCGGUUUUGUUCAAUAUCUUCAUUAAUGAUCUGGAUGAUGGGGUGGACUGCACCCUCAGC